ensembl:snoRNA small nucleolar RNA ACA64
ACAGACUGAAAAUGGUCCCAGGUGUAUCAGUGAUCUGGGGUCAGACAACUGUGCCUAAAGUAGUGUGGCAUAUUAAGCUUAUCAUCUACCACUCGUCUUGGCAGUGUGAUAAAACCCAUCUGCCAACAAAA